AGAGAUCCAGGGAAGUGGCCUGGGAGUUCUGGGGCCAGCAUUGAACGCAAGGUGUCAGCAAGUCUCCUGCCAGAGGUCCUGACGGAGGGGCUGUUCCAGGCCAUGCUCCUGGCUUCCGGUGGUUGCCGGCAACCCUGUGCAUUCCCUGCUUGUAGAGAUGAGAAAAUGGAGGUACCAAAAAGUGGGCUCUGAACUGCAGAGCCUGGCUCCAGAGCCCUUGUAUUUGACUACUGGGAUCCACCGUUAUUCUCACAGCCGCGUUUCCCACAGGGCUGCUUUGUAUGGCCUCUUAGAAAAGUCCUGCCUGUCUCCACCAUCCAGACUAUGAUGUCCGUGAGGUCAGAGGAAAGGGAGAAUGUCUCACAUACAGAAAAUGCUUGAUCAACAUUGAUGGAAUCAUAAAUGGGCCUCAGCGGCACCUGUCCUGAGUCAGCAUCUCACAGAGGUUUUGCCAGCGCCAGCCACAUCUCCAGCAUGAAGGUCCUCUUAUCUGCAGAUCUCAAAGCACUGAAAAGCUCAGAUAUUGUUUGUGGAGUGAGAAUUUGCCUGGACCAAGAGCUCUGCAGCCCAAGUCAAGACCAGCUGAAGCCCUCUUGCUCACAACUGGGGCUCACACACUCGCUACCUUACUCACCCAGGCCUGGGGGCCUGGCUUUGUCCCUGCCACGCCCCUGCUCAGCCACAGACACUGAGAGCCAUAGUCUUUGUCACUCAAGACCAAUUCAGCCAAUGGCCAGAGCACCUAAGGGGGCUCCCCACCCCUGUAAGUGUCCCACUUGGUGGGCCAGGCUAGGAAUGUGGGCAGAUGGGAGGAACCCUGGCUUGAGAUCCAGUAGGCCUUGAUUCUCAAAGCUGGCCACUUAUUGGAUUGAUGUAGCCCUUCUCCCACCCAGGCCUCUAUGUCC
rnacentral:lncRNA from 1 species